GACGAACGCUGGCGGCGUGCCUAAUACAUGCAAGUUGAGCGAUGAAGAUUGGUGCUUGCUCCAAUUUGAAGAGCAGCGAACGGGUGAGUAACGCGUGGGUAAUCUGCCUUUGAGCGGGGGACAACAUUUGGAACCGAAUGCUAAUACCGCAUAAUAACUUUAAACAUAAGUUUUAAGUUUGAAAGAUGCAAUUGCAUCACUCAAAGAUGAUCCCGCGUUGUAUUAGCUAGUUGGUGAGGUAAAGGCUCACCAAGGCGAUGAUACAUAGCCGACCUGAGAGGGUGAUCGGCCACAUUGGGACUGAGACACGGCCCAAACUCCUACGGGAGGCAGCAGUAGGGAAUCUUCGGCAAUGGACGAAAGUCUGACCGAGCAACGCCGCGUGAGUGAAGAAGGUUUUCGGAUCGUAAAACUCUGUUGGUAGAGAAGAAAGUUGGUGAGAGUGGAAAGCUCAUCAAGUGACGGUAACUACCCAGAAAGGGACGGCUAACUACGUG
rnacentral:rRNA from 1 species